GGCACCUACUUCUCCAGGCUGCCUGUGAGGACCAGACAUCAGCUGUCUACAGGAAAGAAAUCAGGUCCACUAUACAUAUAUAUUUUUAAAGUGAUCAGCAAGGAACUUGAAUGCCUGAUGACAGCCCUCCAUUGUUUGAGACACAGCCUGGGCUGGGUUGUUUUCUCUGCCUUGGCUGUGUUAACUAUCACUUACACAAUAUGAAGAAAGAAGGGAUGGACAAUAAAGUCGAGUAGUUGCAGGCAUAUCCGUCGGGAAUUUGGCACGCCUAUUGUAAUGCUUUAUAUAAUGUACACUACCUUUUCUGUGGAGUGCCAUAGGGUAAAUUGUUGUUAGCUCUGGUGGUUCGAUCUGCAUUGUGGUGGUCCUUGGGGUGCUGCCCUAGAUGGCAGGGUUAUAGCCCUGUGAAGGGGACCGUCCCUGCUGCGUUGCGGCAUCAUACUCGAUCAUGUAGCUGGUUUUCUGAUGAUAUUAGCAAUGACAGGUGGAGCUUGGGCAGUUUGCCAACAAUCAAGAUGGCGCGUGUAUGCCUGGAGUACACUGGGCAUGCGCGGAACAUCGCACACACCAGGGAUGAGUACGGAACGGAGGAGUGGAAAUGCGCAUGCGCCGGGAGUCGUUUGUGAUGCAUGACUCACUCAGCCGGCCGUGUAUCCCCUGAUUGGCACUCCUCUGAGCAGGCGCAAUAGAAGACAUACAACGCCAUGAUGGUGGAUUGAUAGCGUGUCUUACCCGAUGGGUAUGUUUGCAUCACUUGCCCUUUGACUCCUCCCCCUACACAAAUUUUAGUUUCAAUAUGUAACUUGGUCAGUAUUGCCAGAUGAUGUCGAUCAUCAGGGGUUUACAGGUUUAUUAUAAGAUUAUUAUGCCGAAAUAUAUGUCACGAUUAUUGCACGUAACCGAGUUUUUACCUUGCAAUUUGUAUUGUAUUUUUUGCACAACUUUUUUGUUUUGUCUUGUAUGUUAAUUAUAUCAACACCCACUGAUUUG